UCUUUUAAAAUAAAUUCUAAAGUCCAAUCUGCUCACUGAAAAUUAAAGAGCCGCAGUAUUAUGACUGUGCAAAGGUAGCAUAAUCAAUAGUUCCUUAAUUGGGAACUGGAAUGAAAGAUUAGACGAAAAAUAAUCUUUUUUUAUUUUAAUAAAUUGAAUUUAAAAUUUGAGUUAAAAUUCUUAAAUGCAUUUAAAAGACGAGAAGACCCUAUAGAUUUUUAUUUUUAUAUUUUAUAUUAAUAAUAAAUUGUUAAGACUAAAAAUUAAAUUGGGGCGAUAUUGUAACAUAAAUAACUUAAAUUUAAGAAACCAUAAAUAAUUGAAUAUUUUGAUCUGAAUUUUUCAAAUUAAAGAUUAAAUUACCUUAGGGAUAACAGCGUAAUUUUGUUUAAGAGUUCAUAUCUAUGGCAAAGAUUACGACCUCGAUGUUGAAUUAAAGGAUCCAUCAGAGCAGAAAUUGAUGUUAAUAAGUCUGUUCGACUAUUAAACCU
rnacentral:rRNA from 1 species